CCAUUUCAGAUUCUCCACUUCACAGUUUCUCAACCGGCUUUUAUAAAUGGCCAAUGAAUCAAUAUGCACCCUGAACUCUGUCAUUUUAAUCUUUUUCUGUAGCCCUGAUAAAACACAUAACAUUGUAUUAGUUUCCUAUGGAUGCUGGAACAAAUUACUACAAAUGCAGUGGCUUAAAACAACACACAUUUAUUAUCUUACAGUUCUGGACGUCCAAAGUCUGAAACAGGUCUCGCCGGGCUACAGUCAAGGUGACAGCAGGCUUGCAUUCUUUCCUGGAGGCUCCAGGGGAAAAUCUAUUCCUCUCCCCUUCCAGCUUGGCCACAUUCCUUGCCGCCCACAUUCCUUGGCUCGUGGUCCUCUUCUUCCAUUUUGAAAGCCAGCAACGUUGGGCCAAGUCUUUUCAUGCUGCCAUCUCUCUGGUUCUGACUCUUCUUCUGCCUCACUCUUCCACUUUGAAGGACCCUUGUGGUUCCAUAAGGAGCAAAUCCAGGAUGAUUUCCCGAUUUUAAGGUCAGCUGAUUAGCCAGCUUGAUUCCGUCUGCAGCCUUCAUUUUCUUUGCCACGUAGCAUAACAUAUUGACAGAUUCCAAGGACAUCUUUGGGGGGCCAUUAUUUUGUCUACUAUGCGUAUUGAUGGUGGUGACUAUGACUACCACUUAUUGCGUCUUUCUCUGGGCCAGGCACUGAGCUAAGCGUUUUACACACAGUAUCUUAUUUAAUCCCACAGCCCCGUGGUAGGCAGAAUUCUAAGAUGGCCCCCCAGAGUUCUGCCCGCUGGUAUACACAUCCUAUGUAAUUCCUUCCUCUUGAGAGUGGACAGGACCUGUGAAUAUGAUAGAGUGCCAUUCCUGUGAUGAGGUUACAUAAUAAGACAAAGGUGGGGGUUUGUUAAUGUCAUGAUUAGGUUAUAUAAGACUUCAUUUCAGCUGACAGGGAAAGAGAUUCUCUUGCUGGCCUUAAAGAGUGAACUGCCAUGUUGCGAACGGCCAGUGGAGGUGGCCACAUGGUGAGGAGCUGGGAGCACCCUCUAGGAGCCAAAAGCAGUCCCAUCCAACAGCCAGCAAGAAAACGGGGACCUGAAUCACACAGCUGCUGGGAGCUGAAUUCUGCCAGCACCUGAAUGAAGUUGGAAGCACAUUCUUCCCCCGAGCGUCCAGAUGAGAACGCAGACUGGCCAACACCUUGACUUCAGCCUUGCGAAUCCCUGAGCAGAGGACCUCACCUGGAUUCUACCUAUAGAAACGAAUGGCAUGUUCCAGAUGGAGGCUGCUCCUUCAGCGUGGGCCCUGGAAUAAAGACAUGUGGAGCAGAGCCACACCUGCAGGGGACAAGAAAAGCUGUCAUCCAGGCUUGGAGAAGUCAGACCCAGGAGACUGUGACUGAAGGCAACAGUGGUGAUGGAAAUGGAGCCCUUCCUGAAGGUUCCCUGUCAAAGUCGGCCCAGUCCUUAAACCUGCCCCUUAAUUUUAUAUGGAUCUCCCUCUUCACAGAGAACACUUGAGGAGCUGUCAAGGCAGCUGUGCCACCCAAUGAACAGGCGAGGAAAUCGGGAUCCAAAGAGUAGAGGCCACCAAUUUACUUUUCUCUAUGCUCUGCUCACUCAGAGGUUGGGGUUUGAUUUCCUGGGGAGAGAUGACCACACCAGGUACCCUGCCAUGUAAAGGGC
ensembl:lncRNA